UACGAGUGCCUCGAGCGUUAUCCGGAAUCAUUGGGCGUAAAGGGUGUGUAGGCGGUAGUGUUAGUCUCGCGUUAAAUCUCUGGGCUUAACCCAGGGGCUGCGUGGGAAACGGCACAACUUAGAGGAUGGAAGGGGUCUGCGGAACUCAUGGUGUAGCGGUGAAAUGCGUUGAUAUCAUGGGGAACACCGAAAGCGAAGGCAGCAGACUGGUCCACUCCUGACGCUGAAACACGAAAGCGUGGGUCGCGAAUGGG
rnacentral:rRNA from 1 species